rnacentral:lncRNA from 1 species
CUAUCACCAGAAUCUCUUGCUUCGGAAGAUGACGUACUAUUAUACGUCAUUGGUGAUGAUGGAGAUGAUGAAAUAUUAGAGCAAGAAGCUGAAGAAGUCACCGGAAAACUUACGGGCAUCUCUUCAUGUUCUAUAGCUGGUGAAGGAGAAUCUCCAAGAACACCACCGGGACUGUAGUAGGAAGAGAUUUCAUCAAAUACUACAUCCCGAGA